UACAGAGGUCCCAAGCGUUGUUCGGAUUUACUGGGCGUAAAGGGUGCGUAGGUGGCGAGGUAAGUUCGAUGUGAAAUCUCCGAGCUCAACUCGGAAAUGGCAUUGAAUACUAUCCCGCUUGAGGGUCGGAGGGGAGACUGGAAUUCUCGGUGUAGCAGUGAAAUGCGUAGAUAUCGAGAGGAACACCAGUGGCGAAAGCGGCUUCCUGGACCAGUACCGACGUUCAGGCACGAAAGCGUGGGGAGCAAACAGG
rnacentral:rRNA from 1 species